ensembl:lncRNA
GGGCUGCGAGGUAAAAAAUACUUAAUACCAUUAUGGCAAAUAUUAAGUCACAGGGCUACGUCUAUCUGGGUCAGGGUCAGGGUCAAAGGUUAGAGUUAGUCACAGGGUUACGUCUAUCUGGGUCAGGGUCAGGGUCAAAGGUUAAUCACAGGGUUACGUCUAUCUGGGUUAGGGUUAGGGUCAAAGGUUAGGAUUAGGGUUCAAAGGUUAGAGUUAGUCACAGGGUUACGUCUAUCUGGGUUAGGGUCAGGGUUCAAAGGUUAGAGUUAGUCACAGGGUUACGUUUAUCUGGGUUAGGGUCAGGGUCAAAGGUUAGAGUUAGUCACAGGGUUACGUCUAUCUGGGUUAGGGUCAGGGUUCAAAGGUUAGAGUUAGUCACAGGGUUACGUCUAUCUGGGUUAGGGUCAGGGUUCAAAGGUUAGUCACAGGGUUACGUCUAUCUGGGUUAGGGUCAGGGUUCAAAGGUUAGAGUUAGUCACAGGGUUACGUCUAUCUGGGUUAGGAUCAGGGUCAAAGGUUAGGGUUAGGGUUCAAAGGUGUUU